rnacentral:tRNA from 1 species
GGGCGGGUGGCGAAACUGGCAGACGCGUACGUCUCAGAAGCGUAUGAGGAAACUCUUGGGGGUUCAAGUCCCCCCCCGCCCA